rnacentral:lncRNA from 1 species
AACACCGCUUCCCAGAUCUUUCGGAUUGGAAGCCUUGAUGAAAACUUCGGGAAAAGUUGUAGAGCUGGCAAGUGAAAUGAUCUCGUGGUGUCAAUCUGGGGAAUUAACUCCACAGGAUACAGGACUUGUGAAGAAGAAAUAUGAUUUCUCUCACUACGUAGGACUGACCAGAACCUCCUUCCUUACCUGCUGGUUCAUGGGGAUCAGGGCCACCACGUGACCAGCUGUCUGUCUCCACUGUCACACCAGAAGAGCAGCAUUUGUCACACAGUGGAAGUGCCUCUCUAUUAUGGAAAUGGAUGUCCACACUGCAAGAGCUCUCGGAUCUGGGACAGCAGGCCGUCCUUUGGAAGGUGGCUACGAGGGCACUCCUAGGAGCAUACAUAUGCUCUGUGCUGCUGAGAGUUGAGGGGUAGACACAGACCAAGUUGUGUGUCAGAGUUAAUGGAAGGCAGCAUCAGAAUAGGAAGCCAUGCUAAUGACAGACUGAAGUGAGUAACGACCCGGAGUCCACGAGCUGCCCGGAGUUGGGGUAGGGCCAGCCUCUCACCCUCAUCCUUAAGCCGUGUCUGCCCCAUGAGUACAGAGGGGUCAGUGCCACACAGAACAAGGCGCCAUGAAUAGGGGCAUGUGCCCCUCAAAUCCAUGUGUUGAAACCCCAGCCCAUGUGACUGUCAUAAGAGGUAGAGCUUUGGAAGGUGCAUGGCAUAUUACUUAGUUAUUUCAU